rnacentral:miRNA from 10 species
GCCGACUCUACAGUGCGACGGGCGGAGCUUCCAGACGCUCCGCCCCACGUCGCAUGCGCCCCGGGAAAGCGUGGGGCGGAGCUUCCGGAGGCCCCGCCCUGCUGCCGACCCUGU